GGUUAGGUUUAAUUACUUAAUGUCCGUGAUGUUAGGGUUAAGUUUAUCAGUUGUAGUAUCUGCACUAAUGUCAUGUGUAUCCAUUUCAUUUUCCAGAGAGUGAUCCAGCUGCAGUUUACUCAGCAGUGAGACGGCCAGAGGACGCCAGUAAUAGACUAAUAGUGAUCACAGACAUCCAAUCUAGCAGGACGAGAGAAAGAGAUCCAGCUCCAGCCUACUCAGCAGUGAGACAAGCAGAAGACGUCAGUUAUGGACAAAUAGUGAUCAAAUCAAACAGGACCAGAGAGUCUCCAGCAGAGGUCCUCUACUCCUCACUGAGGUAGACCUGAACCCCAGUCCAACCAGUGGAGUCCAGCCGGCCCAGUCCACUGGUCCCCAGAGCCGCUCACACCUCGGUACACUCAUCUGUUAGAUUUCUAAUUAAAGCUAAGUGAGACUCAUACAUCUAUAAAGAGACAAACAACUCAAAUUUAGAGCACGUUUUCAUUCUUUUGAUGUUUUUCAUUCAAAGAUAUACUUCUUAUUCAAAAGGUGCUCUAAGCGAUGUCACGCGUUUUUUAGGCUACAACAUUGU